UACGGAGGGGGCUAGCGUUGUUCGGAAUUACUGGGCGUAAAGCGCACGUAGGCGGCUUUGUAAGUUAGAGGUGAAAGCCUGGGGCUCAACUCCAGAACUGCCUUUAAGACUGCAUCGCUUGAAUCAUGGAGAGGCGGGUGGAAUUCCGAGUGUAGAGGUGAAAUUCGUAGAUAUUCGGAAGAACACCAGUGGCGAAGGCGGCUCACUGGACCGGUAUUGACGCUGAGGUGCGAAAGCGUGGGGAGCGAACAGG
rnacentral:rRNA from 1 species